GACGAACGCUGGCGGCGUGCUUAACACAUGCAAGUCGAGCGGAAGGCCCUUUCGAGGGUUAUCGAGCGGCGAAAGGGUGAGUAAAACGGGAGUAAUCCGCCCUUCACUUGGGGAUAACCCCCGGGAACGGUGGCUAAUAACCGAUACGACCAUUCCUCGCAUGGGGUGGUGGUGGAAAGUUUUUCGGUGGGGGAUGUGCUCGCGGCCUAUCAGCUUGUUGGUGGGGUAAUGGCCUACCAAGGCUUCGACGGGUAGCCGGCCUGAGAGGGUGACCGGCCACACUGGGACUGAGACACGGCCCAGACUCCUACGGGAGGCAGCAGUGGGGAAUAUUGGACAAUGGGCGGAAGCCUGAUCCAGCAACGCCGCGUGAGGGAUGACGGCCUUCGGGUUGUAAACCUCUUUCACCUGUGACGAAGCGAAAGUGACGGUAGCAGGAGAAGAAGCACCGGCCAACUACGUG
rnacentral:rRNA from 1 species